rnacentral:rRNA from 1 species
UACUCACCGCCCGUCACAUCAUGAAAGAUGGGGGUGCCCGAAGUCGCGUUAUCCGCCUCGGCGGAGCGUGCCUAAGGUAAAACCAUUGAUUGGAUG